AUUGAACGCUGGCGGCAGGCCUAACACAUGCAAGUCGAGCGGCAGCGGGAAAGUAGCUUGCUACUUUUGCCGGCGAGCGGCGGACGGGUGAGUAAUGCCUGGGAAAUUGCCCAGUCGAGGGGGAUAACAGUUGGAAACGACUGCUAAUACCGCAUACGCCCUACGGGGGAAAGCAGGGGACCUUCGGGCCUGGCGCGAGUGGAGAUGCCCAGGUGGGAUUAGCUAGUUGGUGAGGUAAUGGCUCACAAAGGCGACGAUCCCUAGCUGGUCUGAGAGGAUGAUCAGCCACACUGGAACUGAGACACGGUCCAGACUCCUACGGGAGGCAGCAGUGGGGAAUAUUGCACAAUGGGGGAAACCCUGAUGCAGCCAUGCCGCGUGUGUGAAGAAGGCCUUCGGGUUGUAAAGCACUUUCAGCGAGGAGGAAAGGUUGAUGCCUAAUACGUAUCAACUGUGACGUUACUCGCAGAAGAAGCACCGGCUAACUCCGUGCCAGCCGCCGCCGUAA
rnacentral:rRNA from 1 species